AUUGAACGCUGGCGGCAUGCUUUACACAUGCAAGUCGAACGGCAGCGCGGGGCAACCUGGCGGCGAGUGGCGAACGGGUGAGUAAUAUAUCGGAACGUACCCAAGAGUGGGGGAUAACGUAGCGAAAGUUACGCUAAUACCGCAUACGAUCUAUGGAUGAAAGUGGGGGAUCGCAAGACCUCAUGCUCCUGGAGCGGCCGAUAUCUGAUUAGCUAGUUGGUAGGGUAAAGGCCUACCAAGGCUACGAUCAGUAGCUGGUCUGAGAGGACGACCAGCCACACUGGAACUGAGACACGGUCCAGACUCCUACGGGAGGCAGCAGUGGGGAAUUUUGGACAAUGGGCGCAAGCCUGAUCCAGCAAUGCCGCGUGAGUGAAGAAGGCCUUCGGGUUGUAAAGCUCUUUUGUCAGGGAAGAAACGGUGGGAGCUAAUAUCUCCUACUAAUGACGGUACCUGAAGAAUAAGCACCGGCUAACUACGUGCCAGCAGCCGCGGUAAUACGUAGGGUGCAAGCGUUAAUCGGAAUUACGGGGCGUAAAGCCGGGCGCAGCGGUUUUGUAAGUCUGUCGUGAAAGCCCCGGGCCUCAACCUGGGAAUUGCGAUGGAGACUGCAAGGCUUGAAUCUGGCAGAGGGGGGUAGAAUUCCACGUGUAGCAGUGAAAUGCGUAGAGAUGUGGAGGAACACCGAUGGCGAAGGCAGCCCCCUGGGUCAAGAUUGACGCUCAUGCACGAAAGCGUGGGGAGCAAACAGGAUUAGAUACCCUGGUAGUCCACGCCCUAAACGAUGUCUACUAGUUGUCGGGUUUUAAUUAACUUGGUAACGCAGCUAACGCGUGAAGUAGACCGCCUGGGGAGUACGGUCGCAAGAUUAAAACUCAAAGGAAUUGACGGGGACCCGCACAAGCGGUGGAUGAUGUGGAUUAAUUCGAUGCAACGCGAAAAACCUUACCUACCCUUGACAUGUACGGAAGUCACGAGAGAUCGAGAUGUGCUCGAAAGAGAACCGUAACACAGGUGCUGCAUGGCUGUCGUCAGCUCGUGUCGUGAGAUGUUGGGUUAAGUCCUGCAACGAGCGCAACCCUUGUCAUUAGUUGCUACAUUCAGUUGAGCACUCUAAUGAGACUGCCGGUGACAAACCGGAGGAAGGUGGGGAUGACGUCAAGUCCUCAUGGCCCUUAUGGGUAGGGCUUCACACGUCAUACAAUGGUACAUACAGAGGGCCGCCAACCCGCGAGGGGGAGCUAAUCCCAGAAAGUGUAUCGUAGUCCGGAUCGCAGUCUGCAACUCGACUGCGUGAAGUUGGAAUCGCUAGUAAUCGCGGAUCAGCAUGUCGCGGUGAAUACGUUCCCGGGUCU
rnacentral:rRNA from 1 species